GAUGAACGCUGGCGGCGUGCCUAAUACAUGCAAGUCGAGCGGCAGCACGGUCUUCGGACUUGUGGCGAGCGGCGAACGGCUGAGUAACGCGUAGGAAUCUACCCCAAAGUGAGGGAUAACUCCGGGAAACCGGAGCUAAUACAGCAUGUGGUCUUCGGAUUAAAGCUUUAUGUGCUUUGGGAAGAUCCUGCGUUCGAUUAGCUAGUUGGUGAGGUAAUAGCUCACCAAGGCGACGAUCGAUAGCUGGUCUGAGAGGAUGAUCAGCCAGACUGGAAGUGAGACACGGUCCAGACUGCUGCGGGAGGCAGCAGUGGGGAAUAUUGCACGAUGGGCGCAAGCCUGAUGCAGCAAUGUCGCGUGUAUGAAGAAGGCCUUCGGGUUGUAAAGCACUUUCAGCGGGGAGGAAGGGAGUAAAGUUAAUACCUUUACUCAUUGACGUUACCCGCAGAAGAAACACCGGCUAACUCCGUGCCAGCAGCCGCCGUAA
rnacentral:rRNA from 1 species